GAGUUUGAUCCUGGCUCAGGACGAACGCUGGCGGCGCGCCUAACACAUGCAAGUCGAACGGAGCUUAGAGAGCUUGCUUUUUAAGCUUAGUGGCGAACGGGUGAGUAACGCGUGAGGAACCUGCCUCAAAGAGGGGGACAACAGUUGGAAACGACUGCUAAUACCGCAUAAGCCCACGGGUCGGCAUCGACCAGAGGGAAAAGGAGCAAUCCGCUUUGAGAUGGCCUCGCGUCCGAUUAGCUAGUUGGUGAGGUAACGGCCCACCAAGGCAACGAUCGGUAGCCGGACUGAGAGGUUGAACGGCCACAUUGGGACUGAGACACGGCCCAGACUCCUACGGGAGGCAGCAGUGGGGAAUAUUGCACAAUGGGGGAAACCCUGAUGCAGCGACGCCGCGUGGAGGAAGAAGGUCUUCGGAUUGUAAACUCCUGUUGUUGAGGAAGAUAAUGACGGUACUCAACAAGGAAGUGACGGCUAACUACGUGCCAGCCGCCGCGGUAAUAC
rnacentral:rRNA from 1 species